UACGAAGGGGGGCUAGCGUUGCUCGGAAUCACUGGGCGUGAAGGGUGCGUAGGCGGGUCUUUUAAGUCAGGGGUGAAAUCCUGGAGCUCAACUCCAGAACUGCCUUUGAUACUGAAGAUCUUGAGUUCGGGAGAGGUGAGUGGAACUGCGAGUGUAGAGGUGAAAUUCGUAGAUAUUCGCAAGAACACCAGUGGCGAAGGCGGCUCACUGGCCCGAUACUGACGCUGAGGCACGAAAGCGUGGGGAGCAAACAGGG
rnacentral:rRNA from 1 species